UUAUAGCGAGUGUGUGUUAGCGUGUUUAUAGCGAACGUGUGUUAGCGUGUUUAUAGCGAGCGUGUGUUAGCGUGUUUAUAGCGAGCGUGUGUUAGCGUGUGUUAGCGUGUGUUAGCCGAGCGUGUGUUAGCGUGUUUAUAGCGAGCAUGUGUUAGCGUGUGUUAGCGUGUUUAUAGCGAACGUGUGUUAGCGUGUUUAUAGCGAGCGUGUGUAAUGAGUGUCCAGUUCCACUGAGCUUGAGAGGAACCGAAGCUGCUGAUUGGCCGGUUGCUUUAACAUUCAUUAUCUAUCUAUCUGUCUGUAUAUCUACACUAUAUGGCUAAAAGUAUGUGCACCCCUGAGCAUCACACCCACAUCAGGUUCUUCCCCAAACUGUUACUGAGUCUGAAGCACACAAUUGUAUAGAGUGUCUCUGUACGCUGUAGCGUUAUUAUUAUUCACUGGAACUCAGAGGACCAAACACUGUUCCAGCACGACAAUGAUGAACUGGAACUGGAGUCUCCUCGACAUCCCAACAUCAGCACCUGACCUCAACCUCGCUAAUGCUCUUGUACCUGAACGAACACACAUCCCCACAGCCACGCCCCAAAAGCCUUCCCAGAAGAGAGAGUGGAGCGCAUUAUAACAGUAAAGGGGGAAUUAAACUGGAACGGGACGUUCAACAAGCACAUAUGGGUGUGAUGGUCAGGGGCGCACAAAUUUGUUCAACAGUUCAUUUGUUGGUUUAGCAGUACAGUGUACCGUGUAUGUUCUGGUGGUUUUGUUCCUUUAGACAUUGUGCACUUCCCCUAAUCCCCUGAGUGGGCAGGAGCUGUCAGGAGACGUUCCCUAUUCCCUAAUAGAAUUUACUGCCAAGUGCAAUUUAAUUUUCUCUCUGGGUUUACUCUCUUCCUCCUCUCUUGUUUUCUGAGGAAAAAGGGAGCAUUAUUCUGUUCUCCCUCUGUCUGUCUCUGUGGAGGGAUGUCUCUCUGUCUCUCUCCCUCUGUCUCUCUAUCUCUCUGUGUGUGAUGGACAGACCUGCUGUGUUCAUGGAGUGAGGAACAUCUGACUCGUUCUGCGGCUCACCUGAGGACACAGAUAAAAAGGGUGAUAAACUCCGUCUGUCCUUGUCUCCGGGGUGGAACUUUAUAUUGUGUACCUUUGGUGUGUAGCUUAUCUUUCACCUCUACACGUGGAUAUGGUGUCCUUCCAAAGAAAAAGUUUUUUGUCGUAUUAAAAACAACAACAACAACGAUGUUACAUCACAGCGCGAUAUGUAAGUAAUUUAUGAUGUGUAUGUAAUUGACAUUGUGCAUUAUAUACUGUGUGUGUGUGUGUGAGAGAGAGAGAGAAGAGAGAGAGAGAGAGAGAGAGAGAGAGAGAGAGAGAGAGAGAUGAAUUGUGUGAUAUGCCUCUAUUGACGUGUGUGAUGUUUGAUGUGAGACUUGAAAGGCUCCCUUAUGGAAAAAUCACGCGUUCUAUAUGUGAUCGUGUGUGUAACGUGUAAAAACGUGAAAAACACGUGAAGGUAUUUUUGAGCACGUUAUGCCCUGAAACUGUAGCCUAUAUCAGACGUGACUUGAUGUGCAUAAUAAGCUAUAUGAUCACGUGUUAGUAAUAAAACCACAUGACCUACCUGUAUCAAAAUUAACGUGAAAAUACACGACUGGUGUGAGAAAGUCACAUAUGAAAGCACAUGCACUAUAUGCAAAAUAUAAACAUGUGAAGUGUCUAAAUGAAUACGUGUAAAUUUCACGUGUGAAUCAUGUGAUCAUUCACAGGUGACGUUCAGGUAAAAAGAGAGAGAGAGAGAGAGAGAGAGAGAGAGAGAGAGAGAGAGAAGAUGAAGAUGAGCAAUUAAAAAGAAGGACAAGGUGGACAAGAAGAGGUUGAUGAUGCUGAUGAUGAUACUGCUGAUGAUGAUGAUGAUGGUGAUGAUGAUGAUCAUGGUGGUGGUGGUGGUGGUGUUUGUGGUGUUUUUUUUUUUAUCCCAGUGCCUUGUUCCUCUUGUUAUCCUUAAAGGAAAUGGGAAGUGAAGCUUGAGUUCAUCUCACCUGAACUCAGAGCUCCACUGGGAUUUUCUACUGCAUCAGUGGGUGAAAUGAGCUCUGUCACACACACACACACACACACACACACACACACACACACACACACACACACACACACACACACAC
ensembl:lncRNA